rnacentral:rRNA from 1 species
GCCCCGGCUAACUACGUGCCAGCAGCCGCGGUAAUACGUAGGGGGCGAGCGUUGUCCGGAAUUAUUGGGCGUAAAGGGUACGUAGGCGGACUUGAAAGUUUGACGUGAAAGCCCGGGGCUUAACCCCGGCGAGCGUUAAAAACUUCAGGCCUUGAGUGGUAGAAGGGAUCGUGGAAUUCCUAGUGUAGCGGUGAAAUGCGUAGAGAUUAGGAAGAAUACCAGUGGCGAAAGCGACUUACUGGCAAUUAACUGACGCUGAGGUACGAAAGCGUGGGUAGCAAACAGGAUUAGAUACCCUGGUAGUCCACGCUGUAAACGAUGAGUGUUAGGUGUCUGGGAUAACCUGGGUGCCAUAGCUAACGCAAUAAACACUCCGCCUGGGGAGUACGCACGCA